rnacentral:rRNA from 1 species
AUGCACCAGCUGCCUCCUCCUCCCCCCGCGUCGUCGACGUCGCUCGUGUCGCGGGCGCGCACGGCGAUCCACUCCGCCGCCGCCCGCGCCGAGCGCGUGCUCACCGACAUUAAAGCCGACCUCCGAGAUGCGGACGGAUCCAGCGAGCACAGGACGCCGUCGCCCAGGACCUCGAUGGAUCGGCAGGUCGACGCUGAAGCGGCCGCUUCCGCCUCGGGUCAGGCGCCGGACGUGAAGCCUCCGCCUGAUGAGGUCCCUGAAGUAAUCCCCUCAGCAGACGAGGAAGGCUUGAAGAUAGAAGCCGGGUCAACUUCUUCAUCUAACCUGUCCUUUCCCCCAGCUUCAAUAGUUAAACAGUUGAUUGCAGCCAUUGAAGAUGGAAAAAGAUUCAGUUCAAUGAAUGAUAUGAAGUUCAGUGGUGACCAAUAUCUGAAAGAGAAGGGUGGCUUGAGCUUGUCUGUUGUUAAGUCACUUGUUCGCCGUGAAAAGGAGGAAAGAUCUAGUUCUGAAUUUUUUGGUGACGACGAAACAAAAUCCUUGAUGUACUCGUUGUUCAAAUUUGCGGAAGAGUUGCCCCACGAUGAAAGUCAGUGUGCCCCAGAAUUACUUCAUUCAGCAUCUUUGUCCAGGGAUAUCCAUGGUGCACCACCUGGAAGCUUUGUUCAUCACUUGGGAGAGAUUAUUGGCGGCAUUAGUUCUGUGCACAAGAUGGCAUUUUUUUGGCAAUCUGUAGUUGUUGAGUUGAAGAAACUAUGGUCUGAUGGGCAACCAGUGCCUCGAAUGUCAUUAAAUGCUGCACCGGACUUGAAUUGCUGUUUACUAUAUCAGGAGAUACAAGUUAUAAAUUGCUGCAUUGCCAGGAAACAACGGAGAAAAGCAGCAAAGGAGACACUUGAUUCCUUGCUAAAACAGGAAAGUAUUGAUAACUCAAAUCCCAGGUAUUCAAAUGGAGAUUCUCGUGACAGUGGGAUUUACGCAAGCAAUAGCAGUGGUGAUCAGGUUCUUCGGCUUGGUGUUGACCAUGCAUCCGGGAACUUAACACUGUUAGAAACUGGUGAGCCUGUAUAUUCUCCGAUUCUGCAGGAAGGCCCUAUUAUGACAGCAGAGCUCAUAAAAGAAACAGAGGAACUUGUCUUACGGACAGGAAGUGUUGGUGCUGGCUGUUCUCAGCUUUUAUCAGAUAUGCAGGCGUUCAAGGCUGCAAACCCGGGAUGUGUCCUUGAAGAUUUCAUUAGGUGGCACUCUCCACCUGACUGGUCUGAAGAUUGUGCAGCAAGCAAUGCAACAGUAGGGGAGGGCUCAUCUAGACGUGGCCGGCUAAGUGACAGAAUGCAAACAAAAGAAGGAAAUUUGUGGAAGGAAUUGUGGGAAGCAGCAAAACCUAUACCUGCUGUUGAACAAACUCCGCUAUAUGAUGAAGAUUUAGCUGUGGAGAGCAUAUUUGAUGCCUUGGAAGUUAUUGAACCAGGAAAACUGUUUCAGCAGCUACUCUCAGUCAUUCUUUCUGUAUGCUUUGUAGCAGCUGAAUCAGUGCUACCAGCAGACAGUAAUCUGUCAAAAUUAUUCUACGAUUGUAAAGACUACAUCAUUGGCAUUUACCAAGAUGACAUGUCAAAAGAGAAGCUGGAUGAGAUCUGCAAGGUUUAUGAGACGAUGGAGGCCAUAGUAACCCAUCCUGAAGACGCUCUUCAGAUCAUGGAGCAACCUGACGAGAAGUCUGCCGAGAAUAAGAACCGCUUCAAGCUCAAGCUGAAUUUCACUGGCAAAGAUCGUCAGUCUCUGUGGAAGCGUGUAGCCAAGGAUGAGAAGAAAACAUCGCCAAAUGAUGAGAAAAAAUCACCGGAAGAAAAGAAUACAAAUUUUUUCUCGAACCUUCGUGAGAGGAAGGCCGCCCUAUUUUCGAAAAAGAAUGCAAAAACUUCAGAGUUGCCAUCGGCGCCCCCACCAUCAGCUCUGGGUCCAUUUGACGAGAGCGAAUGGACGAUUUUGUAG